UCCCUGGUGGUCCAGUCGUUAAGACUCUGACCUCUAAUGCAGAGGACUCAGGUUUGAUCCCUGGUUGGGGAA
rnacentral:tRNA from 1 species